CAACUCUUAGCGGUGGAUCACUUGGCUCGUGCGUCGAUGAAGAACGCAGCUAACUGCGAGAAUUAAUGUGAAUUGCAGGACACAUUGAUCAU
rnacentral:rRNA from 1 species